GCCUCCGUAGCAUAACGGUUGUGCACCCGACUUGUAAUCGGGAGGUUGCGAGUUCAAAUCUCGCCGGGGGCU
rnacentral:tRNA from 1 species